UGCUCCGGCGAUUCGGGCUGUCUUCCAAAGGAACAAGAAGAGAGAAAGAACCCUCACCAAACCCCACCCCUUCCCGCCCCGGUGAGCCUUCACUCUCAGGAGUGAAAACUACCGAAACAGCUGGUUGAGGGACGGGUUGUCGGAUCUAUCCUCAGCGCAAUUGGCAUAUGCCUGCAGACAUGAGUCAGCCCCCGCCGGAACUGGCAUUCCAAAGGCGGGGGCCUGACCACCGAGGAAGAUAGGGCUUCCUG
rnacentral:ncRNA from 1 species